AGAGUUUGAUCCUGGCUCAGGAUGAACGCUAGCGGCAGGCUUAACACAUGCAAGUCGAGGGGUAUAGUAGCAAUACUAGAGACCGGCGCACGGGUGCGUAACGCGUAUGCAAUCUACCUUUUACAAAGGGAUAGCCCAGAGAAAUUUGGAUUAAUACCUUAUAGUAUAUUAAAGUGGCAUCACUUAAAUAUUAAAGAUUUAUCGGUAAGAGAUGAGCAUGCGUCCCAUUAGCUAGUUGGUAUGGUAACGGCAUACCAAGGCGACGAUGGGUAGGGGUCCUGAGAGGGAGAUCCCCCACACUGGUACUGAGACACGGACCAGACUCCUACGGGAGGCAGCAGUGAGGAAUAUUGGUCAAUGGGCGCAAGCCUGAACCAGCCAUGCCGCGUGCAGGAAGAGGGUCCUAUGGAUUGUAAACUGCUUUUAUACGAGAAGAAACACUACCUUGCGAGGUAGCUUGACGGUAUCGUAAGAAUAAGGAUCGGCUAACUCCGUGCCAGCAGCCGCGGUAAUACGGAGGAUCCAAGCGUUAUCCGGAAUCAUUGGGUUUAAAGGGUCCGUAGGCGGGUUUGUAAGUCAGUGGUGAAAUCUCUCAGCUUAACUGAGAAAUUGCCAUUGAUACUGCAAGUCUUGAAUAAUUAGGAAGUAACUAGAAUAUGUAGUGUAGCGGUGAAAUGCUUAGAGAUUACAUGGAAUACCAAUUGCGAAGGCAGGUUACUACUAAUUCAUUGACGCUGAUGGACGAAAGCGUGGGUAGCGAACAGGAUUAGAUACCCUGGUAGUCCACGCUGUAAACGAUGGAUACUAGCUGUUGGUAGCGAUAUCAGUGGCUAAGCGAAAGUGAUAAGUAUCCCACCUGGGGAGUACGAACGCAAGUUUGAAACUCAAAGGAAUUGACGGGGGCCCGCACAAGCGGUGGAGCAUGUGGUUUAAUUCGAUGAUACGCGAGGAACCUUACCAGGGCUAGAAUGGGAGGAGAAUAUAGAGGAAACUUUAUAGCUAGCAAUAGCUGCUUCCAAGGUGCUGCAUGGUUGUCGUCAGCUCGUGCCGUGAGGUGUUGGGUUAAGUCCCGCAACGAGCGCAACCCUU
rnacentral:rRNA from 1 species